rnacentral:tRNA from 1 species
UGUAGGUUCAAUUCCUAUUGUUCUAG